UGCACGGCAAGGAAGGAUAUGGUUUCUAGAAACCCUCCAAAACAAGGGAAAGUGCACGCCAUACUUCUAAGACAAGGAUAAGGUGUCUUAAAGUAUUUGGGACUCCUCUUUUUUCUUGGAAACCUUUUCCUUCUUCAACUUGGAAUACUUCUUUGUUGCUGAAAAUCAAGGCCAAUUAGGGUUUUCCUACUUCAAGUAGGAAACCUUGUUUGAGUAGGAAACUUCAUUCGUCUAGGAAUCCAUCUUCAAUUAGGAAUCCUUGAUUGAUUAGGACUCCUUCUUGGACUAGGAUUUCUUCUUCAAUUAGGCGCUUUCCUACUUCGACUAGGAAUCCUUGCUCAAGUAGGAAUCAUCAUCUUCAAAUCUUCAUUUUCAUCCAAACCCUUGGCUCCAAAUAUGUGACAUCCAAUCCACGCUCACUUUUGCUCCAAAAGCUCCAAAUUGCAUCAUUUUAGGUAAUAUGCCCUUUAAACCUGAAAACACAUGAAAGUAGCUUAAACGUUUAUUUAUACUAAGAAAACAUAACAAAAAUGCAUAAGAACUAGCUAACUAAGGCGCAUAAUUAUGCUCCUAUCAAAUUCCCCCGCACUUAGCUUUUGCUAGUCCUUGAGCAAAACAAAGAAACAAAAGAAAAACAAAACAAAACAAAAUAUAACCUAAACCUUCCAACGUUGCCUCAGGGAUUUCCAAUGCACAUGACAUAUUAAAAAUCAUCAUUCCCACAGAUUUUAGUCAUCUUCACACUUAAGCACAUACUUAGUCAUAGUCACCACGUACUAGUUCACAAAUAACCAAUUAAAACAUGAUUUUGAAUGUAGUAACAUGCCUUAGAGAGUUUGCUCAAUUCCUUACUAGAUAUGCACUCAAUUUUCACACAGAUUUUCUGACUACACACCCUAUACUAGUUAUAUGUGAGAGGAUUGAUGUAAAUAUGAAUACGAAUGCUCACAUAUAUGUAUAACAAAGAAAGCAAUUUCCGGAGUUAAUAACAUGUAUAUAAGUAUGAUCUCAUGAAUGGAAUGCUACUACUUAGAUGCGAGAACCAGUGACACCAUAUGCUCAUACCAAUUCUAAACUCCACAAAUUGAAACACACAACACUCAAGAUUAAAGUCAAGGGUUGUAACGGGGCUUAGGGUAUUGGCUAACAAAGAAUGGAUAGGGAUAACAAAGGUUCUUUUAGCAAUAGCAAGCAAAGCAAUGAAAUUGAAACUUAGAAUUCACUUUUGCAUGCAAAAAUCAACUUUUAAACACCAGGGGAAGAUUCAUACAACAUUUAGGGUCAAAUUCAACUUUUUGGACCCUUUCUUCAACAAUCAACACAUGUGAGUACAUUCUCACUUAUUUUCCACUCUUUUUCAUUCUUUUCACACACUUUUCUUUUUCUUUUUAUUUUUCCACGAAAUUUUUAUUUUUUAUUUUUUUCUUUUCCAUACAUGCCUCAUUUAAGACUUGGCACACACAUACCCAAGAGUCACUUCCCCCACACUUGUUUUCUGCAAUACAUUGAUCAAAAGGAAUUCAUUUUGAGUCAUGCUUACUAUUCUUCAAGAACAAGGUUAGGGAUGGUCCUAAUCUAGGCUAGGUAAGGAUAAUGUGGGUUAACAAACAAUAUAGGCUAAACAAGGCUCAACGGGGUUAAACCUACAAAAACAAAUGCAUGGAAUGAAGGCUUUUUGGCUAUGGUGGUAACUACUAACUUCAUCUUGAAUAUGUGUUAUGCAUUUCAAUAACAUGUUUUGAAUGAAAUUGGCAUGAGUUCUAGUGUUUGGAACUAAAUGAUGAAACGCCUUCUAAGUAGUAACCAAGCAAAGAAUAAUGAGAUCAUGCAACGACUUUAGAAAACAAGAAUGCAUAGAUUUUAACUCUCCAAAUAAACAUUUAGGCUCAAGUCUUACAAGGUUGUAGCGUUUGUUUGAGUUCCUUCCUUCAAGCAUGUUACAAAAACUGAUUUUUUCCUUUAUGAUUACAUGUGAAUUCAUAAGUUAUAACCAUAACCCAGCAUAAACCAAAGAGUAAAUCAAACUUUCAUCCAUGUUUAUAACUCUCUUUAACAGUCAUGCAAUUACAAACCGAAUCCUCAUCAUUGUGUUGGAAGGUACCCUAAGACACAAACAAACACACAAAACAACUUUAAAACGACUCUUUUUGGGUUUUUCAAAACAUUUUUUCAAAUUUAUGGGAUUUUCGAAUUUUUAUGUCAAAACACACUAAAACAGCCUAAAAACACCUAAAAACAGCAAGGAACAACAUUUGAAAUUAUGGGUGAUAAAACCCUACGAAUUGGUAUCAAAACACUUUGGUUACCCCCCCCCCCACACUUAAAUCAAACAUUGUCCUCAAUGUUUCAAGCAUAAACUAACACAAAUAACCAACAAACAAAGAAAACAACAACUAAACAAUCUAACAUGGUAGAAACGUAAUAACAACAAAGAGAAGGGUUUAGGAACGCAAAUCUGGAAUUGGAGUGCUCUCUAGGUCUUCCUUUGUCGAAUGCAUGGGUUGCCUCCCAAGUAGCGCUUUCUUUAACGUCUUGCAGCCGGACGAUGCUCCAUUGAAGGUUUAUGGAACCCCACGGCAUGGAGGGGUUUUUCCACUACCUGUCCUAUGAAAUACUUCAUUCUUUGGGUCCUUGAAUGGGAUGGGAUAAUGAUCCUUUCUUAUUGUCGUGUUUUGCUUAUCUAAAUCAACACGAACUCUCCCACCACGUUGUCUUCGAUUAGGUACCUGCACCAUACAAGGUAGCAACCUAUUAGUUGAAAUGGGAAUCGAAAUUGGAAUAGGUGGCUUACCUUUGUACGGCUAAGAAGUGGUAGCACUAUGGACAGAUGCACAAGGGGUGCACGUGGCCAGAUUUGGUGAUUUCAAGGUUGGGGCCGUGCACUCUUUGUUGUUCACUCCAAUUCCU
rnacentral:lncRNA from 1 species